rnacentral:misc_RNA from 1 species
GAUGAAGAACGUAGCGAAAUGCGAUAAGUAAUGUGAAUUGCAGAAUUCAGUGAAUCAUCGAAUCUUUGAACGCACAUUGCGCCCGCCAGUAUUCUGGCGGGCAUGCCUGUUCGAGCGUCAUUACAACCCUCAGGCCCCCGGGCCUGGCGUUGGGGAUCGGCGGAGCCCCCCGUGGGCACACGCCGUCCCCCAAAUACAGUGGCGGUCCCGCCGCAGCUUCCAUCGCGUAGUAGCUAACACCUCGCGACUGGAGAGCGGCGCGGCCACGCCGUAAAACACCCAACUCUUCUGAAGUUGACCUCGGAUCAGGUAGGAAUACCCGCUGAACUUAAGCAUAUCAAUAAGCGGAGGA